GACGAACGCUGGCGGCGUGCCUAAUACAUGCAAGUCGAACGAGAGCGCCCGGUGCUUGCACUGGUCAAUCUAGUGGCGAACGGGUGAGUAACACGUGGGUAACCUGCCCAUCAGAGGGGGAUAACAUCCGGAAACGGAUGCUAAACCCCCUAGGUCUUCGAGCCGCCUGGCUUGAAGAGGAAAAGAAGCGCAAGCUUCUGCUGGUGGAUGGACCCGCGGUGCAUUAGCUAGUUGGUGAGGUAACGGCUCACCAAGGCCGUGAUGCAUAGCCGACCUGAGAGGGUGAUCGGCCACAUUGGGACUGAGACACGGCCCAAACUCCUACGGGAGGCAGCAGUAGGGAAUCUUCCGCAAUGGACGCAAGUCUGACGGAGCAACGCCGCGUGAGUGAAGAAGGUUUUCGGAUCGUAAAACUCUGUUGUUAGAGAAGAACAAGUGCUAGAGUAACUGUUAGCGCCUUGACGGUAUCUAACCAGAAAGCCACGGCUAACUACGUG
rnacentral:rRNA from 1 species